rnacentral:lncRNA from 1 species
AAUGACUUGGGAAGCCAUGAAGUGGGAGGGCACGCUGGCGUGAAGAGACUUGGAGUCUAAAAGCCGAUUUAACACACUUCUACUAAAAUGCUCAGAGUCUGAACAAAUAUUUGCAACAGGUAAACUGAGGGAGUAAAGGGGCGGAGAGAAUUCAAGGUUGGCGGGAAGAGAGAUGGAUGGGGGUCACUGUGUGUUAGAGAGAUGUUGUGUGGAUGCUUAAGUUGUAGGUGUGAAGCUGGAGGUCCAGUAGGGACAUAAGUCCCCUUUGAAGCGCUCCUCUUUCCAAUGUGCUGCUGAAGCAGCUUGCGUAGAAGAGGGCUUCAGCCUCCUGGUUCUUUUCUUCUGGCGCGGGAACUCAGGCCGGAUAAGAAGAGGAUCUGAAGGACUAGCAGCUAGCAGCCAGCCGGGUGGCUGAGCGUCAGAGCUGAGCGGUACUGGGGAAACACUAGCCUGCCUCGCGUGGCGGUCCGCGGUGUUUCUGCGGCAGCUGCAGGAAGCUCGGCCCGGGAGAAAAGCAUCUUCACCGGGGAUCCGCGACUUGCUCACGUAGGCGGCGGUCGAGACUUCGGAGCGUUAGACCAGCUUGCUGAGAGGCUUCUGCUCUGUCCCUGGCUCCCCGGCAAGGCAUGGGCAGGCAUUUCUCUAGAGGCACAAGGAGCUGGAGGCGCUGAGGAAUCCUGAAAACCCCGGCCAGAGAAACACGGAGUUCCUCCGCCUGGCUCAGGACCGAGGCCUCUGCCACUAAGUGGAUGGUGCUUAACCUUGCCAGAAUGAAACGGGUGAAAGUUGUGGGGGCCGCACAACGGGGCCGCACAGGCCUAGAGGAACAGAAUCCUACUAUAGUCGAGACCUGGGUCCCUACCCAGCCUGCCUAAGGGGACUGGGUAGGAGUGAGAAGUGAAUCAAAGUCCACCCGGCCACUUCCUAGAGUGCCUGCUCUAUCCACCUACUGCUGUACCACCGAACAGGCAAGCACAUUCGUCCCAGUCUUCUUAGCUCUGGCUGCUCACCCAGGGUCUGGAAGGUGAUCCCUCGGGGCGCCCUGCAGUUGUGUUUCCCAGCCUUGUGCGCACAAGAGGCACUCUUUCUCCACCUGGGAUUAGGGUGCUGAUCCUGCAAAGGACAGCAAGAAGUCAGUUCCCAGGAAUGUGUGACUCCUAUUUCCACUCAGAAAAAAAAAAAAAAAAAGCCUAAAAGAGAUUCUGAUCUACAAUCCCAACACACACACACACACACACACACACACACACACACACCUCGGGCUCCUUAAAGACUGAAAAGGGAGCCGACAGAGGAAUUCAGGGAAGCGAUGACACAUGCAACAAUUCUGUCACACCUGGCUGCUGAGGAGGAGCUGAGCGGCCGGAAAUGGAGCCGUGGAGGGGGUGGGGGAUGAGACCCAGGGUCAGCUUGGGUGGUCAA